GAUGAACGCUGGCGGCGUGCCUAAUACAUGCAAGUCGAGCGAACAGACGAGGAGCUUGCUCCUCUGACGUUAGCGGCGGACGGGUGAGUAACACGUGGAUAACCUACCUAUAAGACUGGGAUAACUUCGGGAAACCGGAGCUAAUACCGGAUAAUAUAUUGAACCGCAUGGUUCAAUAGUGAAAGACGGUUUUGCUGUCACUUAUAGAUGGAUCCGCGCCGCAUUAGCUAGUUGGUAAGGUAACGGCUUACCAAGGCAACGAUGCGUAGCCGACCUGAGAGGAUGAUCAGCCACACUGGAACUGAGACACGGUCCAGACUCCUACGGGAGGCAGCAGUAGGGAAUCUUCCGCAAUGGGCGAAAGCCUGACCGAGCAACACCGCGUGAGUGAUGAAGGUCUUCGGAUCGUAAAACUCUGUUAUUAGGGAAGAACAAAAGUGUAAGUAACUCUGCACGUCUUGACGGUACCUAAUCAGAAAGCAACGGCUAACUACGUG
rnacentral:rRNA from 1 species